rnacentral:lncRNA from 1 species
UGGGAGGAAACAUGAUAAGCAAUCCAUUUAAAUAAAGUUUUAAGGUUCAAGCUAACAUAUAACCUUUAUUUCCAUUGAUGUGUCUAGGCACUACUAUUACUUCCAAAAUUUCAAAUUACCGUAUUCUCAGUACAUCAAAGAAAGAAAGACUUCCACUGUCACUCCAAACACAUAUUAUGGUAAUGUUACUAGACAGAUCAUCUUAUAUACAAUUGGUAUACACGACAAAAUUGUUAUCGUAAGCUUGACCAGAUAUUCCACAGCAUUAGACUUUUGCCUCAAUGCCUAAAGAACAGGUCCUUCCCUACACUUACCAAUAAAUGCAUCAGUAAAUAAAUUUAACCUAAUAACAACUAUAUAUAUAUAUAUAACUGACAAGCAAGCAGUUCCCUGUUCCUAUUCCUAAACAAUUUCCUAAUUCCAUGUCAAUUACUUGGAAAUUUCAAAUUGGAAAAUAGUAAGCAACAAAGUUAUCUCUGCCAAUACCACAAAAAAAAAAAAAAAACAAACAUACACCAUAUUGACAAUAAAGUACUUCAACUUGUACUACUCAUUCAAAAAUAUAAUCUUGAACUGUAUGAUCAUGCCAUUCAGGUAAAACUUAAGAGGGCAUUGCUUGCAAUAGCUUGUCAUAGUUCUAUCAAAGAGCAGAAUACAUUACACAUUGGCAGUUUGUUUAAAUGUAUUUAUUGAAAUAAGUGCUUAUUUUAAUAAACUAAGCAAUUUUCUUUUUCUUAGUGUGAUCUACUUUAAAAUAAUAAUAAUAAUUUUCUGCUUAUUUUAAAAGAACACUUAUUAUAAAGUUAUUAUUUUAAGUUUAAACAAACCCACCAUCACCUUAUGCGGCCUGAGGAUACCCAUAUCCCAAAUGAAAAGAUAGAGUCUCUUUUACACCAGAACCCAAAUCACCAUAGCAAAAUCUCACCAUGCUUAUUUAAUGCCAGGAAAGGGUAACAUUUUGAUCCAAAACAAAUUCAAUAGCAUACAACAUUAACUUAAAAAACAAUCCUUUUUUAUUCUACAACUCCCUUGCAAGGGAUAAGGUGAAAAAAUUGCAUUACAUGACCUUACAACGCGGGUGGCCCGAAGAAUGUCACGGUAGAGACUCAGCGCUUCGCGGCGAGUGCUGGUGAGUUGCCUCCGAUUCUCCAACUCGUUUUCGUUGUUGUUUUUAACGAGAUGCCUCUUGAGAAGCUCCUCUACGGUAUCAGGGCCCUCGUGCAAUAGACGCAGCUGCUGACUCGGGCUAUCAAUACAAUUCCAAACGCAUCGCCAUUUUUGCAGCCUUCCCCUCAUUUCUCUUCUUUCACGCUCCCUCAGGCCACUCUAUUUUAUUUAUUC